AUCAGAUGACAGCCACCUCACUGCCAGGGUGGCCCUUCUCUACAUGGCUGCAGAGAUGGCCAAAGUGGAAUGAGAAACCAAGCCGUAGGUGCCACUGUUUGCUGAGAAUAUAUUUCGGAAGACCGGCUGGACAAGGAAGCUUAUGCGGGCUACUCCAGACCACCAAGGACACGGGAGGAGACAGGCACACGGAGGACACAGACGGGAUGCAGCUGUGCUUUUGCCCUCAGACUCUUCCCUGCCUAGGGAGUGACAGAUGUUGCUUGCCUGUGAAUCCCCGUACUUACCUGACUUUGGUGAUGGGUGUAACAGAAUCACCAGGAAAGGACACCGGGGAAGGGCACAGUGCUGCGCACCUCUGAUUUCAGCACUUUGAGAGGCCAGCGCAGGAGGACUGCAAGUCUGAGCUCAGGCUGGGUAACUUAGUGACUGAGUGAGACCCAGCCUCAAAAUAAAAAAAUAAAGAGUUGGGGAUGUAGUUUAUUGUGAAAGCUCUAAAAAAAUAAUGGAAAAAAAUCUUUGACGGGAAACAAAAUGCAACUAGUCUCCUCUUGGUAUUUGUGGGUUAUUAGGGAACUGGAUCCAUGACUUCCCUGGAUACAAAAAUCCUCCGGUGUCCAAAUUCCUUAUAUGAAAUGGUGCCAUAUUUGUCACAUUUGUAUGUAACUCAUGCAUAGACUCCUUUACGCUUAAAAUUAUUUGUAGAUGACUUAUAAUACUUAAUAUAAGGUCAAUGCUAUGAAAA